CCCCCACCGGGCUCCGGCGGCCGCGGGACUCCGAGCAGGGCCGGGCGGGCCGCGAGGGAGAGCUUUGCCAUCGACGUCUCCAAGCCCAGACGCCUCCGGGGCCGCUGGUCCUCGCCCUUCCUCCCGCGGGUGGGGCGGCGCGGCGGGCGGUGCAGCGGCGCCCGGGAGGCGAUUUGUGAUUCAAGAUGACCAACGAAGAACCUCUUCCCAAAAAGGUUCGACUGAGUGAAACAGACUUCAAAGUUAUGGCACGAGAUGAGUUAAUUCUAAGGUGGAAGCAGUAUGAAGCAUAUGUGCAAGCUUUGGAGGGCAAGUACACAGACCUUAACUCUAAUGAUGUAACUGGCUUAAGGGAGUCUGAAGAAAAACUAAAGCAACAACAGCAAGAGUCUGCACGCAGGGAAAACAUCCUUGUAAUGAGACUAGCAACCAAGGAACAAGAGAUGCAAGAGUGUACUACUCAAAUCCAGUACCUCAAGCAAGUCCAGCAGCCUAGCGUUGCCCAACUGAGAUCAGCAAUGGUAGACCCAGCGAUCAACUUGUUUUUCCUAAAAAUGAAAGGUGAACUGGAACAGACUAAAGACAAACUGGAACAAGCCCAAAAUGAACUGAGUGCCUGGAAGUUUACGCCUGAUAGAGGCCCGAUGGCGUCGGACUAUUCCAAAGAAGUGGCUACCUCCGAAAAAUUCCCCUUCUAGGAAUUUUAGACACUUGAGAAAUGUUUCUGUUUGAAGAAAAUAGAGGGAGAAGCAGAAGUCUUAAGUCUGUGGCACACUGUGUCUUCAGACAGUUUGGAGGAAUGAAAACCUAGAGAUUUUAAAUCACGAAUUGAACAUGUAAAAUUCCAGUAAAAUGUAAAAAUGGAAUAUGCAUCGCUCUUAACCUUGAGCAUAGUGACUUAGAGACACUGUAUAUUAGCUUUGCCAAUAAGACUGUGGACUUUAUGAUUGUUGUUGAACUUCUGGGUCAAAACUUGAAUGAGGUAAUUUUGCCUUUAAAGGGUUUAUUUGCUAAGAACCAACUUUAAUAGUCAUGAGAGAAUCAACUAAUAGAUGUCAGUACAAGUAGUUCAUACACUUAACCAUUUAGUUUGGGGCUCUGUGUUACUUGAUUGAGCCUCAAUUCAAUGGUUUUAAUCAAUGGUGUGUUCUUUGAAUGGUCGCUGAUGCUGUAGACAAUCUUACCAAGGACCGUACAAACACAGAGGUGUGGUUAUCAAUUCAGGUUUAAACUGUUUGAAGCAUUAUAACAUUCAUUUCACAACUAGAUUGUAUAAGGAUAUUGGCUGUGAUGAGACUCCUGCGUUAUUUUAUUUUUUUCAGUAGUGAAAUUGAUUAAAUCCCCAUUCCAUUCAACAGGCACAUGUUGAAAGAGAAUUGUCGUGUUAAUAGGAAAUGUGUUCCUUCAUUGUAUGUGGGCCUUUUGUAUUGAACUCAUGAUAUUAAAUGUGCCUUGAAAUAGUUGUUUUUUAAAAGUUCAAGGAAUACUAUGAUGAUUUUGUUGUACUUAACAUUUUAAUUUGGGGGGCUGUGAAGAGCAGGUUGAUUUUGGAAAAACUGUUGCUGUGCUCUUCAGAGUGAAGGAAAAGGCUGUGUCUCAUUUAAAAGACCUACUAUUUUCCAGCUGGUACCAUAACAGAGAAGGAGAUUUGACACUUGUUACUUUUUGACACUUUAUCCCAAGAGAUUGCAGUAGAAAUUAAUGUGGGACAGCUUCACAGGGUGGCUGCCAGAAGACUGGGGAGAGUCUGUGUUGAACUGUGGGCUGGCCUAAGUGAGACACGUGAAUUGAAGAAGGUAUUAGUGAUCAUUUCUAGCGAAUUUGUUUGCUCAUUUAGAUAAAUGAGGCAUUAUUUUCUUCAUGCUUCCAUCCAAUCCUGGAGGUGAAUUUUUUCGUCAGCUCAUUCUCUAAGGCACCAAUUUGAAUUUUCACUUGGUGAUAAUGGAGUCUAAGAUGAGUGGAAGAUAAAUGUUCCAGCUUGUCCCCGCGGUUAAGUGCAGUUUAAACAAGGGUGACUAAGUUCUCUUAAUCAUUCCGAUCACUUCCAAACAGGCAAAAAGUUAAUGGCGAAGUGUCGAAUGCUUAUCCAGGAGAAUCAAGAGCUUGGGAGGCAGCUGUCCCAGGGACGUAUUGCACAGCUUGAAGCAGAGUUGGCUUUACAGAAGAAAUAUAGUGAGGAGC